AUAUAUCAAGAGUAAUUUUAAUGCAUUUAUUUAUCUCUUGAGCUAAAAUAAUUAUGGGAUGUUUCUGACGGGGUACUUCAGAUGGUUAGUUUUAACUUCAUAGAAGACUCCCCAAAUGGGGCAACUGGUUGGAUUCCUUAGGGAAAGUCUCUUACCAUUUAGCCCUAAUCACAUCAUUUUAAAUGUUAAAAGGCAAUUAGUAAUAUCACUGAUUAUAGAACUAACAACGUUCUUUUACUGAUUGUACCUGUGUUCUUAUCAUUUGCAAGUUAACCAGCUAAUUUCUAAUUUUGCCUCUUUCACAAAAUCCAAAUUAAGAGCCUGGGGUCACUUAUUGGCCUACCAGGGAACUACCUUCAAUGACAGAUCAUGCACAA
rnacentral:lncRNA from 1 species